rnacentral:pre_miRNA from 1 species
GGUCGACAGAGGAGAGCGAGAAAGCGCGGGAAGAGCCAGAGACGCAGCGAGAACGGCGACGAACGAAGAGUCUGCGAAUUGCGAGCGACUUGAGCGGUUGUGCGUUGUGC